AUGAACGCUAGCUACAGGCUUAACACAUGCAAGUCGAGGGGCAGCAUGAACUUAGCUUGCUAAGUUUGAUGGCGACCGGCGCACGGGUGAGUAACACGUAUCCAACCUGCCGAUGACUCGGGGAUAGCCUUUCGAAAGAAAGAUUAAUACCCGAUGGCAUAGUUCUUCCGCAUGGUAGAACUACUAAAGAAUUUCGGUCAUCGAUGGGGAUGCGUUCCAUUAGGUUGUUGGCGGGGUAACGGCCCACCAAGCCUUCGAUGGAUAGGGGUUCUGAGAGGAAGGUCCCCCACAUUGGAACUGAGACACGGUCCAAACUCCUACGGGAGGCAGCAGUGAGGAAUAUUGGUCAAUGGACGAGAGUCUGAACCAGCCAAGUAGCGUGAAGGAUGACUGCCCUAUGGGUUGUAAACUUCUUUUAUACGGGAAUAAAGUGAGGCACGUGUGCCUUUUUGUAUGUACCGUAUGAAUAAGGAUCGGCUAACUCCGUGCCAGCAGCCGCGGUAAUACGGAGGAUCCGAGCGUUAUCCGGAUUUAUUGGGUUUAAAGGGAGCGUAGGCGGACGCUUAAGUCAGUUGUGAAAGUUUGCGGCUCAACCGUAAAAUUGCAGUUGAUACUGGGUGUCUUGAGUACAGUAGAGGCAGGCGGAAUUCGUGGUGUAGCGGUGAAAUGCUUAGAUAUCACGAAGAACUCCGAUUGCGAAGGCAGCUUGCUGGACUGUAACUGACGCUGAUGCUCGAAAGUGUGGGUAUCAAACAGGAUUAGAUACCCUGGUAGUCCACACAGUAAACGAUGAAUACUCGCUGUUUGCGAUAUACAGUAAGCGGCCAAGCGAAAGCGUUAAGUAUUCCACCUGGGGAGUACGCCGGCAACGGUGAAACUCAAAGGAAUUGACGGGGGCCCGCACAAGCGGAGGAACAUGUGGUUUAAUUCGAUGAUACGCGAGGAACCUUACCCGGGCUUGAAUUGCAACUGAAUGAUGUGGAGACAUGUCAGCCGCAAGGCAGUUGUGAAGGUGCUGCAUGGUUGUCGUCAGCUCGUGCCGUGAGGUGUCGGCUUAAGUGCCAUAACGAGCGCAACCCUUAUCGAUAGUUACCAUCAGGUUAUGCUGGGGACUCUGUCGAGACUGCCGUCGUAAGAUGUGAGGAAGGUGGGGAUGACGUCAAAUCAGCACGGCCCUUACGUCCGGGGCUACACACGUGUUACAAUGGGGGGUACAGAAGGCAGCUACACGGCGACGUGAUGCUAAUCCCGAAAGCCUCUCUCAGUUCGGAUUGGAGUCUGCAACCCGACUCCAUGAAGCUGGAUUCGCUAGUAAUCGCGCAUCAGCCACGGCGCGGUGAAUACGUUCCCGGGCCUUGUACACACCGCCCGUCAAGCCAUGAAAGCCGGGGGUACCUGAAGUGCGUAACCGCAAGGAGCGCCCUAGGGUAAAACUGGUGAUUGGGGCU
rnacentral:rRNA from 1 species